GCUGGCGGCGUGCCUAACACAUGCAAGUCGAACGCGAAAGUCCCGCAAGGGAUGAGUAGAGUGGCAAACGGGUGAGUAACACGUGGGUGACCUGCCUUCGAGCGGGGGAUAACGUCCCGAAAGGGACGCUAAUACCGCAUAACAUCCUGUCUUUUAAGCGAUGGUGAUCAAAGCCGGGGAUCGCAAGACCUGGCACUCGAAGAGGGGCCCGCGCCUGAUUAGCUAGUUGGUGAGGUAACGGCUCACCAAGGCAACGAUCAGUAUCCGGCCUGAGAGGGCGGACGGACACACUGGGACUGAGACACGGCCCAGACUCCUACGGGAGGCAGCAGUGGGGAAUUGUUCGCAAUGGGCGCAAGCCUGACGACGCAACGCCGCGUGGAGGAUGAAGAUCUUCGGGUCGUAAACUCCUUUCGAUCGAGACGAACGGCCUCCGGGUGAACAAUCCGGGGGAGUGACGGUACCGAGAGAAGAAGCCCCGGCUAACUCCGUGCCAGCAGCCGCGGUAAUACGGGGGGGGCAAGCGUUGUUCGGAAUUACUGGGCGUAAAGGGCUCGU
rnacentral:rRNA from 1 species